rnacentral:rRNA from 1 species
GCUAGUAAUCGCGGAUCAGCAUGCCGCGGUGAAUACGUUCUCGGGCCUUGUACACACCGCCCGUCACACCAUGGGAGUCGGUAACACCCGAAGUCUGUAGCCUGACGCAAGAGGGCGCAGCCGAAGGUGGGAUUGAUGACUGGGGUGAAGUCGUAACAAGGUAGC